UACGUAGGUGGCAAGCGUUGUCCGGAAUUAUUGGGCGUAAAGCGCGCGCAGGCGGUCUUUUAAGUCUGAUGUGAAAGCCCACGGCUCAACCGUGGAGGGUCAUUGGAAACUGGAGGACUUGAGUGCAGAAGAGGAAAGUGGAAUUCCACGUGUAGCGGUGAAAUGCGUAGAGAUGUGGAGGAACACCAGUGGCGAAGGCGACUUUCUGGUCUGUAACUGACGCUGAGGCGCGAAAACGUGGGGAGCAAACAGG
rnacentral:rRNA from 1 species